rnacentral:lncRNA from 1 species
GGGGGCUAGGAUGAAAUUUGAAAAAAAUAGGCAGGACAGGCGUUUUGAGUAAAAAAAAAAGGCAGGAUGAGACACUUUGCAAAAAAAAAAAAGGCAGGAUGACAAUUUAAUAGGUAAAAAAAGUCAGGAUAAACUAAUAAAAAAAAGGCAGGACCAAAUAGAGUUAAAAAUAAAAAGGCAGGACAGAGGUUACAACUAAAAAAAAAUGCAGGACAAAAUUUUUCAUCCUAGCCCCC